rnacentral:rRNA from 1 species
UACAGAGGUCUCAAGCGUUGUUCGGAUUCAUUGGGCGUAAAGGGUGCGUAGGCGGCGAGGUAAGUCGGGUGUGAAAUCUCGGAGCUUAACUCCGAAACUGCAUUCGAUACUGCCGUGCUUGAGGACUGGAGAGGAGACUGGAAUUUACGGUGUAGCGGUGAAAUGCGUAGAUAUCGUAAGGAAGACCAGUGGCGAAGGCGGGUCUCUGGACAGUUCCUGACGCUGAGGCACGAAGGCCAGGGGAGCAAACGGG